UAUUACCGCGGCUGCUGGCACGGAGUUAGCCGGGGCUUCCUCUCGCGGUACCGUCACUCCCCGGACGUAUUAGGUCCGGGGCCGUUCGUCCCACUCGACAGGAGUUUACGAUCCGAAGAUCUUCGUCCUCCACGCGGCAUUGCGUCGUCAGGCUUGCGCCCAUUGCGAACAAUUCCCCACUGCUGCCUCCCGUAGGA
rnacentral:rRNA from 1 species